rnacentral:rRNA from 1 species
GGGCCCGCACAAGCGGAGGAGCAUGUGGCUUAAUUCGAUGCAACGCGAAGAACCUUACCCAGGUUUGACAUAUACCUGCAAGACCUAUGAAAGUAGGUUUCCUUCGAGGGUGGUAUACAGGUGCUGCAUGGCUGUCGUCAGUUCGUGCCGUGAGGUGUUUGGUUAAGUCCAGCAACGAACGCAACCCCUGUGUCAUGUUGCCAUCAGGUAAUGCUGGGAACUCAUGACAGACUGCCCGUUUACGCGGGAGGAAGGUGGGGAUGACGUCAAGUCAGUAUGGCCCUUACAUCUGGGGCUGCACACGUGCUACAAUGACCGGUACAAAGAGACGCAAGACCGCGAGGUGGAGCAAACCUCCAAAACCGGCCUCAGUUCAGAUUGCAGUCUGCAACCCGACUGCAUGAAGUUGGAUUCGCUAGUAACGGCGUAUCAGCUACGGCGCCGUGAAUACGUUCCCGGGCCUU